AUACUUACCUGGACGGGUCUAUGGGUGAUCAUUAAGACCCAUAGCCUAGAUUGGUGACUUAUAUUGCACUUUGUAGGGGUGUCAGUCUAAGGUCAACCCAUGUUGGUUGAGCCUACGUCAUAAUUUGUGUUAGAGGGGGAAUGCGUUCGCGCAGCCCCUAC